rnacentral:lncRNA from 1 species
GGCUUCAGGUUUAAAGGCGCGAGCGCCACCCACGCAGGCACAAGGGCUCCUAGUCGUUUUAUUUUUAGCGUAAGGUUUUCCUCUUUAACAAGGAAGUAAAAAAAAAAGUUGUGCAAUAAAUAUUAAUCGUCCUUAUAUGUACUCGGGAACGUUCGUCCUUUAGGUUUUCUCCUGGCGCAUGGGCGCCGCCAAUCAUUUCGGGGCUUAUUUUGGUUCUAAAGCCCGGGGCAGCCAGGCCUCCCUGCCUGGCCUCGGCGGGGACGCGGGACCUGGGGCCCCGGACCGGGCCUAACCGCCCUGGCCGGUCCCCACUGAUGGUGGCGGUCGGUCCUGAUCGUCCUGAUGGCAGCGACCAGGCUGGACUCGGGCUGUGCAGGGGCGAGGGGAGCAGGGCGGGGUGACGCCCGGAGAGCGGCCUGGAGAGCGCGUGCUUCAGAAGGCGUGGGCACCCUGUCCCCUUUGCAGAUGGGGAUGCAGGCCCUGGUGGCGGUGGAGGGGAGAUGGGGGCAGGGACGUUGCCGGGCAGAGGAAGCUGGCCAUUCCUGGGGGAUUCCUGGGAGCCAUGUGGGAGAGGCGUGAGGAAGUGAGACCUUCACCCCGAGACAGGUCCUGACACACCCUCUGGUGCCUCUACUCAAGUGAGAAGUUUGGCUGCUGUAACUGACUGGGAAGCUUAAAAUAACAGACAAUCAUCUCUCACAUUUAUGGGGACUGGGAAGUCCAAGACCAAGUUGCCAUCUGGGGAGGGCCUGUUCCUCACAGCGCCUUCCAGCUCAGGCCUCGUUUAUAAGGGCACUCAAGCCUUCCACGACAACGGGUCCUCAUGACUUACUCACCUCGGAAAGCCCCACCCCCAAGACCAUCACAUUGUGGGUGAUGGCAGAGCAUAAGGUGCCUUCCCCACAUGCUCGGGUUGGCCCAGCGUCUCACGCUAGCAGCUACGUGGAAUAGUUAUUUUUUCUGGAGAACUCUGGGACCCCUCUGAUGUCUUGGAGCACCCACACAGGCCGUUCACUGUGCACGCUGUGAGGCUGUCGUCUUGGAGCACCCACACAGGCCGUUCACUGUGCACGUGGUGAGGCUGUCCUCUGGGGAGUUCUGCUGUUGUAUGGGUUCUGUCUGUGUCAAUGUCCCAGCGGGAACGCAGGGCACACUAGCGUCAUCCCCAGAGGGCUUGGUAAGGGGACUGUUUGCAGAGACAUAGGCAGAGGGCUGGAAAACUACCAAAAAAGUGCAGUGUUCUGGACCUAAUAAUAGCAGAGCUAUUCUCACCCUGGUCUGAAGGCAGGAGGGGAGGAGCAGUUAAUGGAUUCUGGAAGUCAGGUUGCACAGAGUCACCUUGAAAGAUGCCAUGACCUUCACCGAGGGCCAGACAGAGACUAAGAUGACCCCAUAGGAGAAUAAGACCUAGACCUCAUCCUCCUGCCUCCUGCCAGUCCCUGCCAGGGGUCGCCAAUGGCAAAACAGGACUGGAAGCCAGAGGCCAUGGAAGCCCAUGGAUGAAGUCCACAGGCCAGCCUCCCCGAGAGCAGCCUGGACGGUCCGCAGGAGACGUCUCCUGUCUUAGGCGUCCCACGCCGCGUGCUCCUGUUCAGCCCUGCCGAGGUGGAAGCUUGGAGUGGCUCACGGUGGAUGCAUUGACGCUGCAGACGCCAGCAAGUGCUACAAACCAGAGCUGGCCUUUAACUCAGACUGAUGGAGAAGGUGUUAAUAAUGCAGAUUAGACUUAAAAGUGUUGAAGCCAUUGCACUGUGAACAGCAAAAAAAUUGAAGAACUCUUCUGGCAUUUAAAAACAAUUACUCAGUUCAGCAGAGAAGUCACUGACAAACGAGAUCACACUGACUGCUUUGUCGUUUUGGUUUUGUCUUACUCAUUAAUGCAAAUAAGAACAUUCACUAGCAUCUGUGUCGGGCCUACCCUCCCUGGUCAAAUACAGCUACAGUCUCCCUGCAGAAACGAGUUUUCCAGAAAUGAGCCGAUGUUUUCUGCGAGAAUCAAUUGGUCAUAUACAAUUUACAAAAAUGAGUACUGUAUACUAUAUUUGUAAACUGUACACUGCAGAUGCUUUAUUUCACUGAAAUUUAUAAUACACUUAUCCAUGUAUAUGCAUGCAUGCAUUUUUGUUCCUGAGAUCCAGCUGUGAAAUGUUUACCAGCACAUAAAUUACCAGCACAUGCUCUUUUUUGUUAACCUACUAGGUAAAAUCUUCAUUUAUUACAUCAAAUUCUUGUAGUUUUUGUAUUGCAAUUAUGCAGAUAUUGAUUAUCGCAGUAUUACUGCAAUUAUACAGAUACCACAAUUUCAGAUAUUGAUCAGCGUGUUCAGUUGGUUUCUAAGGAGGUUUACUUACCUCAUGGUACACCUAGUUUGCAUAGUUUGAUUAUAUUUAACUCUUAUGCUAAUUGGGGGAAGUCAUUGAUUUAUUGGACAGAUGCACCUGUGGUCUUCCCUGAGCACAUCCUGGCCAAGGAUGCUGCCCCCAGGAGAUUUGAGAAGUCCUGUAAGGAUCAUAUCAGUAUUUUCAAAUACUUAUAGAAAAGCCAGAGGGAUUGACCCAGAAUUACCAAUAUAAGCUUGACCCUGAGAUAACAAUGCCAUUUUAUGUUUGCAUGCAUAAAACCAAUGCAAGAGGCUGAUGACUCCAGAUCCCUUAUAUAAGCCAAUAAAAAGUAGUUUCAUUUUUUAUUUCAUUUAAAAAA